rnacentral:rRNA from 1 species
CAGUAGCCGCGGUAAUACGAGGGGUGCAAGCGUUACUCGGAAUUACUGGGCGUAAAGCGUGCGUAGGUGGUGGUUUAAGUCCGUUGUGAAAGCCCUGGGCUCAACCUGGGAAUUGCAGUGGAUACUGGAUCACUAGAGUGUGGUAGAGGAUAGUGGAAUUUCCGGUGUAGCAGUGAAAUGCGUAGAGAUCGGAAGGAACAUCUGUGGCGAAGGCGACUAUCUGGGCCAACACUGACACUGAGGCACGAAAGCGUGGGGAGCAAACAGGAUUAGAUACCCCUGUAGUCCAUGUCUCUUAUAC